rnacentral:rRNA from 1 species
AGAAUCAACGCUGGCGGCGUGCCUAACACAUGCAAGUCGAACGAGAAAGUGGAGCAAUCCAUGAGUACAGUGGCGACCGGGUGAGUAACACGUGACUAACCUACCCUCGAGUGGGGAAUAACUCCGGGAAACCGGAGCUAAUACCGCAUAACAUCGCAAGAUCAAAGCCGAAAGGCGCUUGAGGAGGGGUCGCGGCUGAUUAGCUAGUUGGCGGGGUAAUGGCCCACCAAGGCUUAGAUCGGUA